rnacentral:rRNA from 1 species
CCUACGGGAGGCAGCAGUGGGGAAUUUUGGACAAUGGGCGAAAGCCUGAUCCAGCAAUGCCGCGUGUGUGAAGAAGGCCUUCGGGUUGUAAAGCACUUUUGUCCGGAAAGAAAUCCUCUGGGUUAAUACCUCGGGGGGAUGACGGUACCGGAAGAAUAAGCACCGGCUAACUACGUGCCAGCAGCCGCGGUAAUACGUAGGGUGCAAGCGUUAAUCGGAAUUACUGGGCGUAAAGCGUGCGCAGGCGGUUUUGUAAGACGGAUGUGAAAUCCCCGGGCUUAACCUGGGAACUGCAUUCGUGACUGCAAGGCUAGAGUAUGGCAGAGGGGGGUAGAAUUCCACGUGUAGCAGUGAAAUGCGUAGAGAUGUGGAGGAAUACCGAUGGCGAAGGCAGCCCCCUGGGCCAAUACUGACGCUCAUGCACGAAAGCGUGGGGAGCAAACAGGAUUAGAUACCCUGGUAGUCCACGCCCU